UACAGAGGUGGCAAGCGUUGUUCGGAAUUACUGGGCGUAAAGGGCGCGUAGGCGGCCUACUAAGUCAGACGUGAAAUCCCUCGGCUUAACCGGGGAACUGCGUCCGAUACUGGAUGGCUUGAGUUUGGGAGAGGGAUGCGGAAUUCCAGGUGUAGCGGUGAAAUGCGUAGAUAUCUGGAGGAACACCGGUGGCGAAGGCGGCAUCCUGGACCAACACUGACGCUGAUGAGCGAAAGCCAGGGGAGCAAACGGG
rnacentral:rRNA from 1 species